GGUAAUACCAUGCGGCUCAUAAAUUUGAAGAUUCUAGCAAUUAAAUAUCUGAGAUGAUGAAUGCAAAGAAACUCAAAGUAAUAUUUUUGUUUGGUCUUGUUCUUUUCUGGCAAAUCCAAGGGGUAAACGACGACAUGUCAACAGAUAAUGGAGAAUGGUCUCUCCUAUUAUGUUUCCCCGUUAAUGCGAGUGGGUGUGGACUUUGUUAUACAAGGGCAUUUGGGAGCAGCACAGACAACAGGAAUCGUAUUGGAGGACCCGGGAAAUGGCUAUACAGUUGUCAGUGCAGGGAGCUCGAGGAGCAAUGAAUAAUUAUAGUGUAUAGCAGGCAAUAACACACUGCUAUAGUCAGGAAUACGCUUACA